CCAAGAGUUUUUUAGGCAGUUUGAAAGCUUAAGCUGUUGCAGGGCUAUCCUCUGUCAGCUGCUUCUCAGAAGACCAAGAGCUUAGGCUGUGGCUGUGCCUCAUCCCAUUAGCCUUAGAGCUAAUCUCCGGCCAACACCGGCACCGCCCUCUAGUGUCUAGGGACAGUACACGUCAUGCCGUCAGGGAUCUCUGUAGUAUUGGUCAAACCAUCUCUCUCCACAGCCUUUCCUAUAAAGAAAAAUUUGAUGUAACCCCAGCUACCCCAGAAGGCUGAGGCAGGAGAAUCGCUUGAACCCGGGAGGUGGAGGUUGCGGUGAGCCGAGAUUACACCAUUGCACCAUUGCACUACAGCCUGGGCAACAAGAGCGAAACUCUGUUUAAAAAAAUAAAAAAAUAAAUAAAUAGAUAAAUAAAUAAAUA
rnacentral:lncRNA from 1 species